UGAGAAGACCGUUGAUGACAUGAUGUC
rnacentral:piRNA from 1 species